CAUGGUUUUGUUCUCAGGUAAACAAUUUGUAAAUUGUUCAUAGUUUGAUUUUUCAAUGUUUAAAAGUUAUAUUUAAAUAUACAUUUAAAUUUAAUUAAUUUGAAUGUAUAAUGUAAGCUAUACAGAUUUAAAGAUAAUUCCAAAAAGAUAUGCAUUAUUUAUACAUAAAUUCAGACUAAAUCAAUGGUCUGCUCAGUCUACAGCUGUGACCUUAGGAAUAAGUUCAUGAAUCCACGUCUUUCUACAAACACGGGAGGUGAAUUAUUAUUCUGAUUUGGCCCAAAAGCUACUUGCAGUGGUUAUUGUUUUUAAGGUCCACUUGAAUCAUUACUUUCCAGUGUGUUUUCCCCAUAGACUGUAAAACAGUUUAUAAGAUAGAAAUAACUCUAAUUUUAAUUAAACUCCAGUACAAUAGGUGGCGGCAUGCAUUUAGUGUGCUGCCCGCCAGUAAACCCAUUUGAUGAACAGGAAGUUGUAGGGCCAUAUCCGCCUAUGAUAUGCACACAUCACGGCAGGCAGACGAGUUGCUGGAAGACUGCGGUCCCUGGUGUCAUAGUUUACUUCCUGGAGGAGGAUGCUUUAGCAAUUUCAGCAUUGGACUUGUUCCCAUCCUUUUUGGUCGCCUCUCCUGCACUUGCUGUUUGGAAGUCAUUGCUUGCAUCUGAUUCAGGACCUGUCAUUCUGCAUUUCUGUUUUCAUUCGCUUUGCUUACAUUUUGAACCCUUAGCAAUAAUAAACGUUUUCUAUUUGGGCUAUAGUUGUACAUUCAAGUUUGUUUUUUCUUAAUUGAAUGUGUUUGUGUGGAUAUGCAACAAUUAUUUAUUUUAUAGUACUUCAUUGAUGGAAAUUUGCAAAGAUUCUGAAUUAAAAAAACACAUUAACAUUGUUCUUAAUUUUUAUUGUCAUUGUUUUAAUCAGUUAAUCUAUAACUGCACAAUGGUGGUGCACUAUUGCCUGAUUUUGUGUGCAUUGUGAUUUAGAUUAUGCAACACAUUAAAUUGACCCUAAUUAAGUCA